UAACUUAAACAUAAUUUGGAUCAUGUCACUCUGCUCAGGACCCUCAAAAUGGCUCCCAUUUCACUCUUAAGAGCCCAUGGCGUCCUCCUGUCCCCGAGCCUCCCUGCCUCAUCUCUGCAUUUGCCCCUUGCUUUCUUCACUCUGCUCUCAUGGCCUUGCUUUUCCUGAAACAUCAGGCACAGCUCUGAUCUAAGUCCUUUGUGUGUUCCCUUCCUUCCAUCCCAAAUGCUUUUGCUUCCUCACCUCCUUCAGGUCUGAGCUUAGAUAUAACCUUGAUGAGACUUUCCUUGGCUCUUCAAUUUAAAAUUGCAUUAUGCCCCUCCCCUACCUCUGGCAUCCCCUAAUUCCUUUCCUUGCUUUAUUGUCCCUAUCACACUUCAUAAUAGCAAGCAUACUGUUUGUUUUGCUUAUUUAUUUGCUGGCUGCCUCAGUUUCUUCAUCUGUAUUAAGGAAGGAACGUUGAUAAUAGUACUUAACUUGUGGGUUGUUUAGAGGAUUAAAUAAGUUAAUGUCUGUAUUUUUUUUAGGCCAAUGUCCAGCAUGGAAAGCAUUAUAAUUGUGUUAUUAUAUAAGCAGUGUGCUGGAUAAAGACUAAAUAAACAAACAAAUACUUUCUAGCAGAAUCGUUACUGCUUUCAGUUCUUCGCUGCUCAGUAACCACAAUUUCAGCAUUGAUGAACGAUGCCCAGGCCUCUGGUCUGAAAUACUUCCCAGCACUCAUAAGAUAUUCUGACUGCAAAUUUAAAGCUUGGAGAGUUGAGGUUCAAAGAUAGAACUCCCACAUCGACUGUAAUUUAAGUGUCCUGCAUAUCCCUUGGCUUUAAGGAACAAGUCUAAUGGCCCAGGAAGAAUUUGAAAAGAUUGCCUGGUUGCAGUGGCUCUGAGUUAUGACUGCCCAGAGCCACACAGGCCUGGACUGUAGGUGAUGAUUAGGGCACAGGGCUGGGGGGGGAGGGGGGCGUGCUGACCUAACCCCACUUGGCAUGGUGCUACUUUAGUUGGUUUGUCCCAGAGUAUCUCAGACCCACUGGCAGUCCAUUACCUCCUUCCCCUCAAGCUUGUCAUGAGCAAGUCUGCCAUGACUUACUACUAGCGAGUGAGCAUUUAUUUCCAAAGGGAACAUAUUUUUCUCAUCAGGCUCCAUUCAUUUUUGAGUGCUCGCUUAUUAUAAUUAUUUACUUUCCAAGUCUCUGCUACAGAAUCCACACACACACACACUGUGGGCUGCCGUUUGCCCAGAAUGCGUUGGAUCCUUCUCCUCCUAGCAACACUCAUUCAGCAAAUAUUAAGAACUUGCAUGUCUAAGACCCUUCCUUGUCUUUGUGGAGCUUAUGUUGUAGAAGUCUAGAUCAAGACUCUUCCCUUAUUUUUCUAAAAUUGGCAGUCAUAUCAUCAUAGAGUGCAUCUUAAAGGCACUUGAAUAAUUUUAGUGAAUAAUAUUGUAGAUUGUCACUCUGUGCACAUCAGUGGGGUUGCUCCCAGCCAGCCAGACAAGCUAGCUUUCUGUAAGUCAUAAAUAUCAGGGUACCCAUGGCAAAAUCAGCUUUUCCUGGAACCAAAUGAACUUUCUAGAUAUUAUAUUUCCCAGUUUAAAGAGUUGGUGAAUGAGGACAUUUCAUGACAGUGGGAAAAAAGU